AUGUGGCACUUUUCGGAUUUCGAGAUUCAGACAAGUCUAACUUCGACCGUAAAUUUUCAUAGAUCUUUUAAACAUUUUGAAUUAUCAAUUAUUGUGUUUUAUAGUACUUUUUAAGUAGUUUACAAAUAUAUAAGUUUUAUUUCAAAAAAAUUGAAGAUUCCAUGCGCAAAUUUCUGGUCAAACUUAAAUUGUUUGACUCUCGAAAAAAGAAAAGUGUCACAUAA
rnacentral:pre_miRNA from 1 species